rnacentral:lncRNA from 10 species
CGGGGCCGGGCUGAGGUGGCGUGUGGGUGGCCGUGCCCCUCUGCCUGGAGCCGCCUCAAAUCAACUUUAUUGACAGUAGGCGGUGACCGACAGGCGGGGUGCACGCUGGGCACACGUGCCUGGUCGGUGUUACUUGAAGCGUGGGGACUAGAAGUCAGACCCUGAGGAGCAUGAUCUCUGGAAGCUGGAGAGACCUUAAGAGUUAGGCCAACCUGUUGUGGGUGCUGGAAUCCUUUGGGCACCAAGAAGUGCUUGCACACGCUCUACUGAUGGGGAACUUAACACUUCAUGAUGUCGUAACAACCCUGC